GCCAGAGUAGCUUCCUUGUUGAGUUGCAAGCACUAGUUGCGGCAGCCGCGGACGAGGUUGACGACAACGAGGCAGUUGUCAGGGCAACGGUGAGGGCGCGCUCACAGGACUGGUGUAGGGCGAGGUCGUUGAUAGCGGCGUUGCAAUGGACGGAGAGCGUGGUAAUAUGGACGAAGCCGUCUACGUCAAAAAUGGCGAGGGAGCCAGCGGCGUCGGCGGAGAUGAGGUUGCGGGGGAAGGAGAGAUUGGGAGGGGCGUAGACAGAGAGGGCGGUGAUAGAGGCGGAGUGUUGGUGGAGGGAACCGAGGGAGGAUGCGGCGGAGAGGUCGUAGAGGGGGAUGGUGUCGUCGUCGCCGCCGGAAGCGACGACGGAGCCUGAGACGGCGACAACUUAGAUAGAGGAAAGGUGGGAAGGGUAGGAGAAAAUAGGGGUUAGGGAUUGAGAUUGAGGCUUUAGGGUGAGACCCAGAUGAAUUUCUCGUACAAGCCUACAACCAAACUCAUUAUUUUCCUCCACACACUCAUCAUUGCUUUUCUUCCUAAAACCUUAGGGUUUUUUAACCACUAAUGGUGGCAGGGAGUGAGGGAGUGAAAACCCAUGGGAGUAAUAUGCAAAUGGAAUCACGAGAAGAAGAUGAGAAAAUGAGAACAAAAGAAAAAUCAGAAACUUUGAAGGAAAAUUAGAAUGAAGGGGAUUGCUUGAUGGACAUAAGGAAAAUAAGAACAAAAAUCAGAAAGGAAAUGAGAAACUAAGAGAAUUAUAUUAUAUUAGAAUAGAUACCGCUCUUUUAAAACAGCGUUAUUUAUUCGUUUAUUUCAAAUUAUAAAUUAAAAAAUAAUAUAAAUU
rnacentral:lncRNA from 1 species